rnacentral:rRNA from 1 species
GAUGAACGCUGGCGGCGUGCCUAAUACAUGCAAGUCGAGCGAACGGACGAGAAGCUUGCUUCUCUGAUGUUAGCGGCGGACGGGUGAGUAACACGUGGAUAACCUACCUAUAAGACUGGGAUAACUUCGGGAAACCGGAGCUAAUACCGGAUAAUAUUUUGAACCGCAUGGUUCAAAAGUGAAAGACGGUCUUGCUGUCACUUAUAGAUGGAUCCGCGCUGCAUUAGCUAGUUGGUAAGGUAACGGCUUACCAAGGCAACGAUGCAUAGCCGACCUGAGAGGGUGAUCGGCCACACUGGAACUGAGACACGGUCCAGACUCCUACGGGAGGCAGCAGUAGGGAAUCUUCCGCAAUGGGCGAAAGCCUGACGGAGCAACGUCACGUGAGUGAUGAAGGUCUUCGGAUCGUAAAACUCUGUUAUUAGGGAAGAACAUAUGUGUAAGUAACUGUGCACAUCUUGACGGUACCUAAUCAGAAAGCCACGGCUAACUACGUG